UACAGAGGGGGCAAGCGUUGUUCGGAAUUACUGGCGUAAAGGGCGCGUAGGCGGCCUGUUAAGUCGAACGUGAAAUCCCCGGGCUCAACCCGGGAACUGCGUCCGAUACUGGCAGGCUUGAAUCCGGGAGAGGGAUGUGGAAUUCCAGGUGUAGCGGUGAAAUGCGUAGAUAUCUGGAGGAACACCGGUGGCGAAGGCGACAUCCUGGACCGGUAUUGACGCUGAGGCGCGAA
rnacentral:rRNA from 1 species